rnacentral:lncRNA from 1 species
UUGAAUAGUGAUUCGCAGCCAGUCAGAAAUCAUACAGUGAAUAAGAUGCCAUCACUACACUAUAGCAUCCAUCAGAUUUGGUGAGGUGAUUACAUCAAUGAAUGUAAUAAAGUCUAUUGGGCAGGUGGGGCGGGAAGAGGGGGCAAUGAAGAUGAGCAAGCAAGCUUUUAUGCAAGCAGCACCAAAUAGGUUGGCCGAAGACUUUCCCCCUUUCUGUUUUUCAAGAAUAGUUUUGGCAGGAUCAAAAAAACAAUGAGUGCUUUCAAUUCUCCCCUAACCAGAUGAACUUUAUAAAGCCACCCUGAGAAGGGAAAUGGCUUAGCGUUUCUGGGAGAGGGGGAGGAAGAUGAAAGCAGAGUGGCAACACAAACAUUCCCAUCCAAGAGAUGAUUGUAUUUCAAAGGUAAUUAUGGAUGCUUCCAACGGGUGGGGAGGGUGCAUUGAGUCUCACAAAGCAAAGAUAAUUUAUUCAUGAGAAGCUGAUCUGCAAGGCUUCCCAGGCAGAAGGAACCUCUCCAUAUUCAUGGGGGAUAAUUAAGUUGGUAGUGAGAAGGGUUUGUUUUUCAACAGGCUUCAGGAGGAGGAAGCCAAGUGCAGUAUGGACAGGUAUUUCACUGAUACACGAUGUGUGUCUGCCCACCCACAUGUGGGGGAUGGAGUUUGCUGGGGGAGAAGUGCUGCCUCUUUCACCCCGUGGCUCCUCCUUCCUCCCCCUUUUGGGUUCUACAUAAGGGUGUGCCUGGACAGAGGUGGGUGCUGAAGUCUGUGCAUCAUCCCAAGAUCCUCUGAGAAAGGAAGAACUUGUUUGUUGUUGUUGUUGUUGUUGUUUAGUCAUUUAGUCGUGUCCGACUCUUCAUGACCCCCUGGACCAGAGCACUCCAGGCACUCCUGUCUUCCACUGCCUCCCACAGUUUGGUCAAACUCACAUUAGUAGCUUUGAGAGCACUGUCCUACCAUCUCAUCCUCUGUCGUCCCCUUCUCCUUGUGCCCUCCAUCUUUCCCAACAUCAGGGUCUCCCCAUUAGCUAAAGUGGGUUUUGAUUUCCACAACACUCCUCAUCACACCUUUCACAAAACUUCUGCUGAUGCGGGGGAGACAGGCCUGACAGUGUAACCAUAUUCUCUCUACAGUGUGAUAUCACAGCCUCCUACCCAAGCAGGGACUCCCCAUCGUCCCCAGAAGCUGCGCAGGAAGGUUAGAGUCUAGCCAAUUAACCUCCAUUUUGCAUUAAUGCGAUUGAUUUUCUCUUCCUGCUUGUAGCGUUUGAUACCUCCCUGUUGAAAUUCAAUUUGAAGGUGCCUGCACUGUGCAGGCAACUUGCUUCUGUUUCAGCUCAGCUUGGUGGAAUGACUACACAUCAGGAACCUCAGAAAAGUCUUGGAUUGGAUUGAGAUGCAUCUAUUCCAGCUGUUGCAGCCAGCAGCAGUCGGACAAUUACCUCUGGAAGCUCAUGGGGCAAGUGACCUAGACAGUGGCUUGAGGAAAGAUGCAACCACUUCUCUUGGACUGGCCUUGACUACUGACCCACAUAUUGACCUGGAGAUAUAGGGGGCAGAGAACUGGCAUGGAUGAUUGGGUCUGAAGCCAGGGUGGGAAUGAGCGUUACCUGAACAUAGGAACGUCAGAAGCUGCCUUAGAUAGAGUCAGUCCAUUGGUCUAGCGAGUUUAGUAUUAUCUACGCUUACUGGAAGUGACAGGGGACAUUCUCAGACCUAUAAGAAGCAGAAGCAGAGGAAGAGGAGGAGGAGGAGGAGGAACAUUAUUUAUACCCCACCCAUCUGGCUGGGUUUCCCCAGCCACCCUGGGUGGCUCCGAACGUAAUAAUAAUACUAAUACUAAUACUAAUAAUAAUAAUAAUAAUGUGAUAAAACAUCAAACAUUAAAAACUUCCCUAAACAGGGCUGCCUUCAGAUGUCUUCUAAAAGUCAGAUAGUUGUUUAUUUCCUUAACAUCUGGUGAGAAGGCAUUCCACAGGGUGGGUGCCACUACCGAGACGACCCUAUGCCUGGUUCCCUGUAGCUUCACUUCUUGCAGUGGGGAACCACCGAAAGACCUUCAGAGGAGGACCUCAGUGUCCUGGCUGAACAAUGGGGGUGAAGACACUCCUUCAGGUAUACUGGGCCGAGGCCGUUUAGGGCUUUAAAGGUCAGCACCAACACUUUGAAUUGUGCUUGGAAACGUACUGGGAGCCAAUGUAGGUCUUUCAGGACCAGUGUUAUAUGGUCUCGGCAGCCACUUUCAGUCACCAUCAGAGAUUGCCAUCAUAGACUGGACCUGGGCCUUUUGCAUGCAAAGCAGAUGUUCUAGCACUGAGUCACAGCCCUUCCUUGAUUAGGUUAGCCAACACUGCCCUGAAUAACUUCAGAGAACAUUUCCUGGGGUUCUUAUUUUUUCUUUCCCUUCCCCCAAAAUUUCCAGGUGCUGCAUACUCGUGCUGAGUGUGAACAGAUGCGAAAGUAGGCAGACCAAUGGACAAUACCUUUGUGGAAUAGACUACAUUCCCAACAGGCAAAGGUCCAAAGUUUCUGCACAGAGACACCCACGCAUCUUUCCACAUUUUUUUCUGGGCAAGCAAGGGGCUUUUCUCCUUGUACAGUCUUACCACACUCUAGGGUUAUAUUCAGUGCUGCAUAAUGCCCAUUGGGACUGUUUGGGUGAAGUCAGGGAGCUCAAUAGUAUGUGCCUCCAGAGUCAAAGACAGGCAACAGCCAACUAGUUUUGUCCCUAUCUUCCUCCCAGAUGAGUUCUACAAGGGCAACACUAAGAGAAUAAGGAAGAGGAAGCUGAUAGGCUGGGCCACCCCCUGGACUGCUUGUAAGUAAGAAGACAGUCAAGAGAUGGCUGGCUGAGGGCAGAAUGAGAUUGGUGGGGCAGUGCCCCAUUUGCUCUAAUGAGUAUACUGGCUCGGAACUCUGGGAUGUACCAUAAGCAGUCAAGUACAACACUUCCUGUUUGCCCAGAGUGGACACACAGGAGGGUGUUACUCCACAGCCAGGAGGACUUCCUGUCACACCUGCUCUGGAGCUUCUUCCCCCUGCGUGUGAUCCUGGGAGACCCCAUAAAAGGGGCUGAUCACACAGCCAUCUUCCUCGUUUGAUGCCUUUUCUUCUCUUGGACUGCACUGCUGGCUCUCUGCGAGCUGCACAUAGGUCCAUCCUUACAAGGAUGUGAGCCACACUGUAUCUGUAACUACAAGCUAAAGCCUGCCUUCAGGGAAUCAACUGUGAACUGAAUGUGAGUAAACUUCUUGUUACUUUUAAAAGAAGCUUCUUGUGUCUUUCUUCUUUUUAGGAAAGAUAAAAAGGGGACUGGCCAGGAACAAAACCCAAUCUGAACAAAGCCAUAUUGAAUUGCUUAAGUAAAGAAAUUCAAACGAAUCUACCAACUAACUUCCUGCUAUAUAUUGGGGGAUGUACUCUGCUGCUGACUCACAAGCGUGAGUUAGGAAGGAUACUAUUAAAUCAAUAUAUCCUCUCCUAGUAUCUACAACAUUCCCACAAGAACAUGAACAUCCCAUUUGAGCACUUUCAGCAUCCCCAUUCAUUUUGAGGAGGCUUUACACAGGAG